UGGGGAAUUUUUCGCAAUGGGCGCAAGCCUGACGAAGCAACGCCGCGUGGAGGAUGAAGGUCUUCGGAUUGUAAACUCCUGUCGACCGGGACGAAUGCACCCGACCUAAUACGUCGAAGUGUUGACGGUACCGGUGGAGGAAGCCACGGCUAACUCUGUGCCAGCAGCCGCGGUAAUACAGAGGUGGCAAGCGUUGUUCGGAAUUACUGGGCGUAAAGGGCGCGUAGGCGGCCUGAUAAGUCUCGUGUGAAAGCCCUCGGCUUAACUGAGGAUCUGCACGGGAUACUGUUGGGCUUGAGUUCGGGAGAGGAAAGCGGAAUUCCGGGUGUAGCGGUGAAAUGCGUAGAUAUCCGGAGGAACACCAGUGGCGAAGGCGGCUUUCUGGGCUGAUACUGACGCUGAAGCGCGAAAGCUAGGGUAGCAAACGGGAUUAGAUACCCAAGUAGUCCCUGAGCGGGCUGGCAAGGCGCAU
rnacentral:rRNA from 1 species